rnacentral:rRNA from 1 species
UACGGAGGGAGCUAGCGUUAUUCGGAAUUACUGGGCGUAAAGCGCACGUAGGCGGCUUUGUAAGUUAGAGGUGAAAGCCUGGAGCUCAACUCCAGAAUUGCCUUUAAGACUGCAUCGCUUGAAUCCAGGAGAGGUGAGUGGAAUUCCGAGUGUAGAGGUGAAAUUCGUAGAUAUUGGGAGGAACACCAGUGGCGAAGGCGGCUCACUGGACCGGAACUGACGCUGAGGCGCGAAAGCGUGGGGAGCAAACAGG